GAUGAACGCUGGCGGCGUGCCUAAUACAUGCCAGUCGAGCGAACAGACGAGGAGCUUGCUCCUCUGACGUUAGCGGCGGACGGGUGAGUAACACGUGGAUAACCUACCUAUAAGACUGGGAUAACUUCGGGAAACCGGAGCUAAUACCGGAUAAGAUAUUGAACCGCAUGGUUCAAUAGUGAAAGUCGGUUUUGCUGUCACUUAUAGAUGGUUCCGCGCCGUAUUAGCUAGUUGGUAAGGUAACGGGUUACCAAGGCAACGAUGCGUAGCCGGCCUGAGAGGGGGAUAGGCGACACUGGAGCGGAGACGCGGUCAAGACUCCUGCGGGAGGGAGCAGUAGGGAAUGUGCGGCAAUGGGCGAAAGCCUGACGGAGCAACGCCGCGUGAGUGAUGAAGGUCUUCGGAGCGUAAAACUCUGUUAUUAGGGAAGAACAAAUGUGUAAGUAACUAUGCACGUCUUGACGGUACCUAAUCAGAAAGCCACGGCUAACUACGUG
rnacentral:rRNA from 1 species